UGCAAGCUAGCGGAGACAAUGAGAUAUCUUAUUAGUUGGCAAAAACCAGCAGAAAAAAAUAUGUUGAUGAUAAUGAAAAUAUAAUUGCAAUUACAUGUUGAAAUUUGGAGCGAGUUUCAUCCUCGUUCGAGUGCUACACAUCAUGGUAAUUCCCGUUUUACUGAGUUGGGUCUCAUAUCUUAAGGAAAACUGUUCGGCUUAGUUUCACAGGGUACCAUGUUAGCUCAAUAUAUACUUGUUUCCCUGUUUUGUAGUGGUUGAAGUUUCAACUUCUGGACAUUUUUUUUUCCUCCAACAUACUUGCUAAAAAGCUAAUCACG
rnacentral:lncRNA from 1 species